rnacentral:lncRNA from 1 species
GAAAACAUCAAAAGUUAAUAAUGGAUAAGCUAGAACAAUGGCUCAGCCUUUAAGAGCACUGGCUGCUCUUCCUGAGAACCUGGGUUGGAUCCCACGUGACCCCUCACAACUCUGUAACUUGAUCCUGUUAUGGGAGACCCGACGCCCUCUUCUGGCCUCCACGGGCAGAAUCCGCUUAACCAAUCUUGUUGGAGCAGAAGUAAGGACUACAACUACAACGACAAGCUUGUCUAUGCCCCAGGCUUCAUCAGGUCACAUAUCUGUAAGGGUCUCUCUGAUGCUCAUCUGGAAGCCCUAAGAGACAUCUGUGGUUACCUGUGUUGACAUCAAUGCUUAGCAAGCAUCAAUACAUCACUCCACACCUUCAGC